AAUGAACGUUGGCGGCGUGGAUUAGGCAUGCAAGUCGCGCGACAAGUUUUCCUGCUUGCAGGAGGACGGAGCAGCGGCGAAAGGGAGAGUAACGCGUGGAUACCUGCCCCUUGGACCGGGAUAGCUGCGGGAAACUGCAGGUAAUACCGGAUAAAGUCCCCGGACCAAAGGUGUGAUUCCGCCGGGGGAUGGGUCCGCGUCCUAUUAGCUUGUUGGUGAGGUAAUGGCUUACCAAGGCAAAGAUGGGUACCGGGUGUGAGAGCAUGGCCCGGCUCACUGGGACUGAGACACUGCCCAGACACCUACGGGUGGCUGCAGUCGAGAAUCUUCCGCAAUGGACGCAAGUCUGACGGAGCGACGCCGCGUGCGGGAUGAAGGCCUUCGGGUUGUAAACCGCUGUCAGUGGGGAGGAAAUGCAUGAGGGUUCUCUCUCAUGUUUGACCGAUCCGCAGAGGAAGCGCAGGCUAAGUUCGUG
rnacentral:rRNA from 1 species